GCCAGGUGUGGUGGUGCACACCUGUAAUCCCAGCAACUUGGGAGGCGAGGCAGGAGGAUCGCAAGUUCGAGGCAACCUCAGGAACUUAUUGAGGCCAUAAGCAACUUAGCAAGACACUAAGCAACUUAGUGAGACCCUGUCUCCA
rnacentral:sRNA from 1 species